AAACUUGUUUACUUUCCCUAACAUGAACGCCCCUUUUUGUUUAUGUUACUGGUUUAAAACCAGUCACUGGUGCAAGCAGCUUGAUCUUACUGAUGUGAAGUAUCAUGAUUAGUUGUCAUCCUUCUUUGGUGUCUCUAGAUUUAGUGAAUGUACAGCUUCUUGUGACAUCUGCCUGGAUUUUGUAGCUUGUUACUAUUAAAGAUAUGUUAGUUUUCGGAGUAUGAAAUGGACGUAAUGCCAGUUUGGACCGAACAAUAUCAAACCCCGGUUUAUCACUAAAUUACAUCCAAACAAACUUGAAGUGGAGACAUGCUAUGUGAAGAAGAGGAACUGUGUUUUAGUAAGAUCCAGCAUAAAGAAACAUAAUGAAGCAAUAUAUAGAUCUCAAAAUGAGUUGAUGUUACUAGUUUUUGAAGAAAAAUUGUAGGUGAGAAUGCAUUAGUAGCAAGAGUUGAUUUCUGUUGAUUGUCUUGCAAGUGGCUUUAUACAACAGGAUGGGCACAACAUGGUGUGAUUGUGCAGAUUGUCAGAAGAUUUAGCAUACAUUGAAUUCAAGCUAUCUGAACCGUUGGCUAUCCAGGGAUCUGUAGAUUGGCAAAAUGAGCCCGAACUCGAAAAACCUGAGUCUGAACUAGAGUUGGAGGGUUGUUUAACUAGGUUAGGAGUUGUGGUACCUUUUUUUCAGAAAAAAAGAACUCCAGAUGUAUCAAAGAUGCUUUUAUUUGGAGGUAAGGCAUAUAAAUUUAGAAUCUUGAUGACAUAGUAUAAUGCAAAACAGACAAUAUAAUAUUCUUAAUGUUGCCUAAAACUGUAAGCAAUUGAAAUUCCAAUGCUGGUUUGCUCUGUAAA